rnacentral:rRNA from 1 species
GAAGAAAGCGGGCGGCGUGCUUAACACAUGCAAGUCGAACGGAAAGGCCCUGCUUUUGUGGGGUGCUCGAGUGGCGAACGGGUGAGUAACACGUGAGUAACCUGCCCUUGACUUUGGGAUAACUUCAGGAAACUGGGGCUAAUACCGGAUAGGAGCUCCUGCUGCAUGGUGGGGGUUGGAAAGUUUCGGCGGUUGGGGAUGGACUCGCGGCUUAUCAGCUUGUUGGUGGGGUAGUGGCUUACCAAGGCUUUGACGGGUAGCCGGCCUGAGAGGGUGACCGGCCACAUUGGGACUGAGAUACGGCCCAGACUCCUACGGGAGGCAGCAGUGGGGAAUAUUGCACAAUGGGCGGAAGCCUGAUGCAGCAACGCCGCGUGCGGGAUGACGGCCUUCGGGUUGUAAACCGCUUUCGCAUGUGACGAAGCGUGAGUGACGGUAAUGGGUAAAGAAGCACCGGCUAACUACGUG